CGCAUCUCCUCAUUCUCUGUAGCGCCUUGCCAGCGCUGCUGGAGCAGUUGGAUACCGGGUCAUCAUCCGCCCUCCGCUUCCUCGUUCAGUGCCUCCGGCAAAACGAGGCACAAUACAUGUAAUACUAUAGGCGGAAAAAAAAGAAAACAUAAUGGCAGACCUUCUUGAUAUUUUGGGGAUAGGGGCCGUCGCCAGUCUGAUCCCGAUGCUCGCGAACGGUCUUCUCCUGGUUGAUCGGCCCAAACGGGUCGACAUUAAUGCCGGAAGGCGGCUCAUUCACACAGUGCGGCCCAUAAUUCCUUACCGUGCCCCGGUGCCGUACACCGGCGGCCGUGUCCGUGCGCUUUUCAUAGGAAUCAACUACACAGGUAUGCGCAACGCACUGCGUGGCUGCGUCAACGAUGUUAGCUCGAUGCUGGGUACGCUGCAGCAGAUCUCCUUCCCGAUUAGCGAGUGCUGCAUCCUCGUCGACGACCCGUCGUUCCCCGGCUUCUGCGGCAUGCCCACCCGCGACAACAUCAUCAAACACAUGCUGUGGCUGACCGGCGACGUACGCCCCGGUGAUGUGCUUUUUUUUCACUUCUCCGGCCACGGCGGGCAAACCAAGGCGACUCGAGACUCGGAAGAGAAGUACGACCAGUGUCUCAUCCCACUCGACCACGUGAAGAACGGCAGCAUUCUCGAUGAUGAUCUUUUCCUCAUGCUCGUAGCCCCGCUGCCGUCUGGGGUGCGCAUGACGUGCGUCUUUGACUGCUGUCACUCAGCUAGCAUGCUGGAUCUACCCUUCAGCUACGUGGCGCCGAGAGUAGGCGGCGGCGGGGCACGCGAGUACAUGCAACAGGUACGCCGCGGCAACUUCUCGAACGGCGACGUUGUCAUGUUCAGCGGGUGCACGGAUAGCGGCACCAGCGCAGAUGUGCAGAACGGCGGCCACGCGAACGGUGCCGCCACUCUCGCCUUCACGUGGUCUCUUCUGAACACGCACGGGUUCUCCUACCUUAAUAUCCUUCUCAAGACACGAGAGGAGCUGCGCAAAAAGGGUCGGGUGCAGGUGCCGCAGCUCACGAGCUCGAAGCCGAUCGACCUGUACAAGCCCUUCUCCCUCUUCGGCAUGAUUACGGUAAACGCUUCCAUGAUGCAUUGCGUGCCGCAGCAGUACCAGCAACGUCCGCAGAGCCUCCCGCCGCAGGCGAUGCCGCCUCCGGCGGGUUACCCAGUCCACGUACCGCCGCCGCCGCAAGGCUACUACCCUCCGCCGCCGCAAGGCUACUACCCUCCGCCGCAGCGUCCAGGUUGGGGCCUUGGCUACCCAGCGCCGGGAUACCCGGCGCAAGGGAUACCGGUGCAGCAGGCGACUCUUGGUGUCUCGCGGUGUCCACCAUCGCAGUACUUACCUGCGCCUCCGCCAGCACUGUAUGCGCCACUUCCACCCGGGCAGCACGGGCCACCGCAGCCCCCGCCAGCCCAGUACACGUUUAGCCCACUCCCGCCUCGCUAAAGAUACAUCAGAAUGUGUGUAGCUGUGUCACGCGCCCACACCACCUCUUUGCCACUGGCCGCUGCAGGCGAGUCAAAAGAGAGGGAGAGGAGGAGACGGUGCUGUGGCACCGGCUCCAGCCCUCUGAUCUUCUCACCGCGCCCCUUCGCACGCUCCCUGUGUGUGUGUGUGUGUGUGUGUCUGUAUAUUGACAUGCAGCUGGGGGGGGGGGGGGGGGGCACCGCUUAUCAAGGGGAAAGGGGCGGGCACCGCCGGUGACGGGUCGCACACAGCAGCGGGAACGGCGACAGUGACGGGGUGGUGCUCUUUCUCUUGGUUCCCUUACCGCUACGCUUUCUCUUUGCUUGCUUGGGAAAGAGCGACGUUGCUGAGGAGGCCUCUUUGCAAAGAGUGGGUGAUGCGAUCAUGUAGACGUCUGAUCUCCACCCUCCCCCUCCCUUUCAUUGUUGCUGCCCCGUCCAUCCCACCCCACCCGCGUGUAUGUAUAGGUUCUUGCUUGUCUUACCUUGCGUUGCCUUACUUUGUGUAUAUGCGUAUAUCUCUGUGUGUUUGUGUGUUUUUGUUGCCUUUCCUCUCUGCGCUUCAACGGGCGGUCGCGCUGUUGUUUCUUUGUGGUUGCUGGUUUUUCUUUUGGCUGUUUGAACGAAACUGCGAACCGCUGCCAUCUCUAUUCCCUUCCGCCGCAUUCCGUUCACGCUUUCUUUCUCUUUUCCUCUGCCUCCCCCCCCCCCCCACUCUGCCGCGCGCUGACUCAGUAGAGGGAAGAAUGGGGAGGUGCCCUACGCGCUAGGCGUCUACAUGCGGCACAGCAG
rnacentral:misc_RNA from 1 species